AACACAUGCAAGUCGAACGCGAAAGGGAGCAAUCCCUGAUCGAGUGGCAAACGGGUGAGUAACACGUGGGUGACCUACCUUCGAGUGGGGGAUAACGUCCCGAAAGGGACGCUAAUACCGCAUGACAUCCUGCUUUUGGAAAAGCGGACAUUAAAGCUGGGGAUCGCAAGACCUGGCGCUUGAAGAGGGGCCCGCGCCUGAUUAGCUAGUUGGUGAGGUAACGGCUCACCAAGGCUACGAUCAGUAUCCGGCCUGAGAGGGCGGACGGACACACUGGGACUGAGACACGGCCCAGACUCCUACGGGAGGCAGCAGUGGGGAAUUGUUCGCAAUGGGCGAAAGCCUGACGACGCAACGCCGCGUGGAGGACGAAGAUCUUCGGGUCGUAAACUCCUGUCGAGCGGGAAGAAUGCUUCCCGGGUAAAUAUCCUGGGGAAUUGACGGUACCGCUAAAGGAAGCCCCGG
rnacentral:rRNA from 1 species